rnacentral:lncRNA from 1 species
UGAAAUGAGAGAAAAAUGUCAUAAUCUACUUAGGUGACAGCUAGCCUCCAUCUUUGAUCUAAAUGUUAAUCUUCCAAUAGCAAUAAUUCCUAAUUGAACUAUUAACUUGCUCUCAAAUUUUUCAUGAGUGUUGAAAGUCAAGUCAACUAUUAGCUCCAACAAAAUAACCUCAAUCCAACUAGCAAAUUGUUGCAAAUCUUAG